AACGCUAGCGGCAGGCUUAAUACAUGCAAGUCGAGGGGCAUCAAGGUACACGAAAGUGUAUUGUUGGCGACCGGCGGACGGGUGAGUAAUAGGUAGGUAACCUACCUCAUACUGAGGCAUAGCUGGGAGAAAUUCCAGGUAAUUCCUCAUGAGGUUAUAUGACACAUGUGAUAUAAUCAAAGGUAUCGCAAGGUACUGGUAUGAGAUGGGCUUACUGACCAUUAGCUAGUUGGUGAGAUAAGAGCUCACCAAGGCGAAGAUGGUUAGGGUUUGAGAGAGAGAUCCCCCACAUUGGAACUGAGAUACGGUCCAGACUCCUACGGGAGGCAGCAGUAGGGAAUAUUGGACAAUGGGCGCAAGCCUGAUCCAGCAAUGCCGCGUGCAGGAUGAAGGCCUUCGGGUUGUAAACUGCUUUUGUACGGAACGAAAAGGCUCUGGUUAAUACCUGGGGCUCAUGACGGUACCGUAAGAAUAAGCACCGGCUAACUACGUG
rnacentral:rRNA from 1 species